rnacentral:rRNA from 1 species
AUUGAACGCUGGCGGCAGGCUUAACACAUGCAAGUCGAGCGGAGUGAUGGUGCUUGCACCAUCACUUAGCGGCGAACGGGUGAGUAAUGCCUAGGAAUCUGCCCAUUAGCGGGGGACAACGUGUGGAAACGCACGCUAAUACCGCAUACGCCCUACGGGGGAAAGCAGGGGACUCUUUGAGCCUUGCACUAAUGGAUGAGCCUAGGUCAGAUUAGCUAGUUGGUGGGGUAAAGGCCUACCAAGGCGACGAUCUGUAGCGGGUCUGAGAGGAUGAUCCGCCACACUGGAACUGAGACACGGUCCAGACUCCUACGGGAGGCAGCAGUGGGGAAUAUUGGACAAUGGGCGCAAGCCUGAUCCGGCCAUGCCGCGUGUGUGAAGAAGGCCUUUUGGUUGUAAAGCACUUUAAGCGAGGAGGAGGCUUACCUGGUUAAUACCUGGGAUAAGUGGACGUUACUCGCAGAAUAAGCACCGGCUAACUCUGUGCCAGCAGCCGCGGUAAUACAGAGGGUGCGAGCGUUAAUCGGAAUUACUGGGCGUAAAGCGCGCGUAGGCGGUUUGUUAAGUCGGAUGUGAAAUCCCCGGGCUCAACCUGGGAAUUGCAUUCGAUACUGGCAAGCUAGAGUAUGGGAGAGGAAGGUAGAAUUCCAGGUGUAGCGGUGAAAUGCGUAGAGAUCUGGAGGAAUACCGAUGGCGAAGGCAGCCUUCUGGCCUAAUACUGACGCUGAGGUGCGAAAGCAUGGGGAGCAAACAGGAUUAGAUACCCUGGUAGUCCAUGCCGUAAACGAUGUCAACUAGCCGUUGGGGGAUUUGAUCCUUUAGUGGCGCAGCUAACGCGAUAAGUUGACCGCCUGGGGAGUACGGUCGCAAGACUAAAACUCAAAUGAAUUGACGGGGGCCCGCACAAGCGGUGGAGCAUGUGGUUUAAUUCGAUGCAACGCGAAGAACCUUACCUGGUCUUGACAUAGUGAGAAUCUUUCAGAGAUGAGAGAGUGCCUUCGGGAAUUCACAUACAGGUGCUGCAUGGCUGUCGUCAGCUCGUGUCGUGAGAUGUUGGGUUAAGUCCCGCAACGAGCGCAACCCUUUUCCUUAUUUGCCAGCACUUUUAGGUGGGAACUCUAAGGAUACUGCCAGUGACAAACUGGAGGAAGGCGGGGACGACGUCAAGUCAUCAUGGCCCUUACGACCAGGGCUACACACGUGCUACAAUGGUCGGUACAAAGGGUUGCUACACAGCGAUGUGAUGCUAAUCUCAAAAAGCCGAUCGUAGUCCGGAUUGGAGUCUGCAACUCGACUCCAUGAAGUCGGAAUCGCUAGUAAUCGCGGAUCAGAAUGCCGCGGUGAAUACGUUCCCGGGCCU